rnacentral:rRNA from 1 species
UACGUAGGGCGCAAGCGUUAUCCGGAAUUAUUGGGCGUAAAGAGCUCGUAGGUGGUUUGUCGCGUUGUUCGUGAAAACCGGAGGCUCAACCUCUGGCGUGCGGGCGAUACGGGCAGACUUGAGUACUGCAGGGGAGACUGGAAUUCCUGGUGUAGCGGUGGAAUGCGCAGAUAUCAGGAGGAACACCGGUGGCGAAGGCGGGUCUCUGGGCAGUAACUGACGCUGAGGAGCGAAAGCGUGGGGAGCGAACAGG